rnacentral:rRNA from 1 species
AGAGUUUGAUCCUGGCUCAGAAUGAACGCUGGCGGCGUGCUUAACACAUGCAAGUCGAACGAGAAAGGGAUUGCUUGCAAUCUCGAGUAGAGUGGCGUACGGGUGAGUAACACGUAGAUAAUCUACCUUCAAGCCCGGGAUAACCAUUCGAAAGGAUGGCUAAUACCGGAUGCAGUGCAUAUGCCCAAGUAUAUGCAUGAAAGACUGCCUCUUCAUGAAAGCAGUUGUUUGGAGAUGAGUUUGCGUACCAUUAGCUUGUUGGUGAGGUAAAGGCCCACCAAGGCUGUGAUGGUUAGCUGGUCUGAGAGGAUGAUCAGUCACACUGGAACUGGAACACGGUCCAGACUCCUACGGGAGGCAGCAGUGAGGAAUUUUGCGCAAUGGGGGAAACCCUGACGCAGCAACGCCGUGUGAGUGAUGAAGGCCUUCGGGUCGUAAAGCUCUGUCGAGUGGGAAGAACCCACACCCGUAUAAUAAGCGGGUGUGCUGACGGUACCACUGAAGGAAGCACCGGCUAACUCCGUGCCAGCAGCCGCGGUAAUACGGAGGGUGCGAGCGUUAUUCGGAAUUAUUGGGCGUAAAGGGCACGUAGGCGGCCGUGUUAGUCAGCUGUGAAAGCCCGGGGCUUAACCCCGGAAGUGCAGUUGAUACUACACGGCUUGAGUAUGGGAGAGGGAAGUGGAAUUCCUGGUGUAGCGGUGA